rnacentral:lncRNA from 1 species
AAAAUUUUUAAAAUUUUCUCUUUUUUUAAGAUAUAAAGCAUAAAAAUUUAUUAUAUUUGCAAGAAUACAAAACCAAACAUGUUGGUUUAUAACAUUAAGAUCAUAUUAUUUACUGAUACAAUAUCAUAUCAUGGCAAAUGCCUGUGGCAUUGUCUUGCUUUUAGUCUGGGAGCAGUAUAGCACCUUAACAUGGUAUAGUUGCAAUCACAGUAAUUCCCUAGCUCUAGUCAUUUUUACUUCAGAAUUUUUGUUAAAAGUCAUUUUUUGCAACUUUUGCAAAACUCUUAGUCUCAAUUAUUUGCAUAAGUCAGUUAAUACUAUAUUAAUUUCAAUGAUUUAAAUUAUUGGUCAAUAAUUUAUCAAUGGAAUCUUUUUCAAAUGAAAAACACUGAGAAUGAAUUAUUAUAUGUUUAAUAAAUCAAACUUGAAUAGUUUAUCACUUGUAAUUUAUAAC